GACGAACGCUGGCGGCGUGCCUAAUACAUGCAAGUUGAGCGAUGAAGAUUGGUGCUUGCACCAAUUUGAAGAGCAGCGAACGGGUGAGUAACGCGUGGGGAAUCUGCCUUUGAGCGGGGGACAACAUCUGGAAACGAAUGCUAAUACCGCAUAACAACUUUAAACAUACGUUUUAAGUUUGAAAGAUGCAAUUGCAUCACUCAAAGAUGAUCCCGCGUUGUAUUAGCUAGUUGGUGAGGUAAAGGCUCACCAAGGCGAUGAUACAUAGCCGACCUGAGAGGGUGAGCGGCCACAUUGGGACUGAGACACGGCCCAAACACCUACGGGAGGCAGCAGUAGGGGAUCUUCGGCGAUGGACGAAAGUCUGACCGAGCAACGCCGCGUGAGUGAAGAAGGGUGUCGGAUCGUAAAACUCUGUUGGUAGAGAAGAACGUUGGUGAGAGUGGAAAGCUCAUCAAGUGACGGUAACUACCCAGAAAGGGACGGCUAACUACGUG
rnacentral:rRNA from 1 species